rnacentral:rRNA from 1 species
UACGUAGGGUGCGAGCGUUGUCCGGAAUUAUUGGGCGUAAAGAGCUUGUAGGCGGUUUGUCGCGUCUGCUGUGAAAAUCCGGGGCUCAACCCCGGACUUGCAGUGGGUACGGGCAGACUAGAGUGUGGUAGGGGAGACUGGAAUUCCUGGUGUAGCGGUGGAAUGCGCAGAUAUCAGGAGGAACACCGAUGGCGAAGGCAGGUCUCUGGGCCACUACUGACGCU